rnacentral:rRNA from 1 species
UACGUAGGGGGCAAGCGUUGUCCGGAAUCAUUGGGCGUAAAGAGCGUGUAGGCGGCCCGAUAAGUCCGCUGUGAAAGUCCAGGGCUCAACCCUGGAAUGCCGGUGGAUACUGUCGGGCUCGAAUCCGGAAGAGGUGGGUGGAAUUCCUGGUGUAGCGGUGAAAUGCGCAGAUAUCAGGAGGAACACCGGUGGCGAAGGCGGAUCUCUGGGCCAUUACUGACGCUGAGGAGCGAAAGCGUGGGGAGCGAACAGG